GGGGGUCACGGAUCCCUGUUUCGCCGAAGGAGAAGAGGGGAGUCGGGAGAGAAAAGAAGAAAGAAGAAAAAGAAAAGAAGGAAAAAGAAAAGAGAAAAGAAGAAGAAAAAAAGAAAAAAAAGAAAAGGAAAAAUAAUAAUAAUAAUAAUAAAGAGAGGAGGUGGUUUACGGGUAUGAACCCAAACUCAGGGUGCUAGGCACUCCUGCAGGGCCAGCUAUUGGAGGAUAUUAAAAUUUAAGUUUUUGUAUACAUAUAUUGUGAUGAAUUUUAAAAGAAGAAUAUGAUUUUUGAAUAUUAGGUUUUGCGAGAGAUUUACGGAAUUAAUUGGAUUUGUUGUGGAUCGCGUUCGCAAGGUAAGUGAUGUAACCUUUUUUCUAGAUUUAUCGGCAAGCUAUAUAUAUAUAUUGUUUUACGAAUCGAAUUAUUCGUGAUUUCGAAUUUGAUGCAUGGAUUAUAUGUAUAUUUUUAGAAUAUUGUAUGACUCUGAUUGAACGUAUUUGCUUCUGACAUCGUGCCUUUCGGCCUAGAACAUUGAACAUAUGUAAAAAAAGAUAAUGACUUGAAAUAGAUUCAGACUUGCAGUCGGGCUAUGUUGAGGACCCUGCCAAUGGGGGCUAAUACAUUGGUACCGCAAGAAGAAGUCGGUGAUAUGACCCUGCCACAAGGAACAUGUGGUCAUAGUUCCUGUCUAUUGAGUUGAAUCUGAUAAAUUGAAAGAAAUUAAGAAUAUAAACGAUAUUUGGUUUUGACAUUGCAUGUUUUCAU
rnacentral:lncRNA from 1 species